AUGAUAAGGUUGUAUGUACAGCCUUUUUGUAGAAGUGAACCUUCUGCUAUAAACCAUCAAAUUGCGGGAACACCCUAAAGCAAUCACAACCAAGUAGGAAUAGUAAUAUGUAUCCUAUGGCUCAGGUAAUGACUCGAGGUAUGGUAAAAUCGUGAUUGAUUAAUGAUUAGUAAUGGGUUAUCCGCAGCCAAGCACCAAGUAUUCUAAGGAAUAAUGGUGUGCAGUUCAUCGACUAAAUGUUGGUUGGCGCAAGCUUAAGAUAUAGUCAAGCCUCAUCUGAAAGGAUGCA
rnacentral:ncRNA from 1 species